AUGGAGAAGAAUACACCAUAUCUAGCUGUGUUAGAGGGCAGUUGAUGGAAGUGAAUGAAAACAUUCUCCAUAAGCCACCUAUUCUUCAAGAGAAGCCAUCCACCGAAGGAUACAUUGCAGUUGUGUUGCCCAAAUUUGAAGAAAGUAAAAGCAUAACAGAAGGGUUACUGACACAAAAACAGUAUGAAGAAGUCAUGGUGAAAUGCAUCAAUGCCACAACAGCCACCUCAUGAGGAUUAAGAUUGAGUAAAAACAACUGGGCAUUCUUAUCCUUACCUGGCCUACCAGUCAGUGCACUAAGGAAGAACCAGAGAUGCUGAAAUGUACUUCACACCCAGCCAUCCGCAGGGAGGCCUGAUCUUAAAACCUGACCUAGGUUUCCUUCUUUGUCUUGCAUAACAAGCCUUGAUUCCAUUUUGUCUUCAACCUCCCAGAUCUGCCUGCCCAUGUACUCACUCUGUUCUUUUGCUUUUCUCUUUCUAACAACUGGCAAGCGACAGACGUUUUUCUGAUUAAAAGCCAACAAACAGGGCUUCCCUGGUGGCGCAGUGGUUGAGAGUCCACCUGCCGAUGCAGGGGACACGGGUUCGUGCCCCGGUCUGGGAAGCCACAUGCCGCGGAGCGGCUAGGCCCGUGAGCCACGGCCGCUGAGCCUGCGCGUCUGGAGCCUGUGCUCCGCAACGGGAGAGACCACAACAGUGAGAGGCCUGUGUACUGUUAAAAAAAACAAAAAAAAAAAACAAAAAAACAAGCCAACAAACAAAGCACGUUGAAGAAAAUUUGAAAAAGACAGAAAUGACAGCAAAAUAAAAAAAUAGUUUACCCAUCAUCCUGUAACCUGUUAGUAAAUACUAGGUUUUGAUGUAAUUCUGUUUGAGUGUUAUGGCAUGGUUAUUGUUUUUGCCUCAAUUUCCCAUCACUUUGAAGGUGAACAACAACUGGCCUUUCUUACCCAGUCUGCUUCAGUGUGACACGACGCAAACGUCUGGUCCCACCCCUUUUGCCCCAACUGCCCCUCUCAGGUUGCCUAGAAGAGGCUGGGUGUAGAGUGUACCUUCUCUAAGUCUAUGGGUUGUCCUUCAACUCUGAACAAUGUAGCACUGUAACACUGGCUUCUUAAUGAGGGACACGUGAAAAGGCUUUGAAAGGGGCUUUGCUAACAUGGAAGUAUCAAUAUUAUAAUGCGGUAUGAAGUAACAUGUGCAUUUGGGGUCACUCAGUCUCACACUCUAGUUACAGGGUACCCAGCGAAGA